UAAUUUCUCGCUUUGUGUCUGCACCAACAUUUGUUAAGCCUCUUUUGACAUGACUAAAUCCUCAUCUAAGUCAUGCGUGAACCCAAAAUUAGGCUAUAUAAUCAGGAGGGUGUUGAGUUACAAUGUCCUAUAUUGGAUAUAUGAGGGUAUAAAAGCAGUUUUAGGUCUUGUCCAUCAAUAACCUUGACGGUUUUUGAUUGUGUGCUUAAAUUUUUCCUAAUGAAUUGUCUGAAUUGUUGUCUAAAAGUUUAAAUUGUACUUAUUAAAUUUUGGUCUGGAACACUCUCCUUCAUGUGGAUGCCUAAUUCUUUUCGGGCCAAGUACGUGAAGAUAUUUGGUUGAUAGAUGGUGGUGAGUUUAGCCCAGAACCUCUAUUUGAUGCCUGAAGUAUUGUGUAACUGUCUCAUUUAAAAGUUUAAAGGGAUACUUUUAUUUAUUUUUUGGUCUAAAAUUACUUAUUUUAAUAAGCAGGAUAAUUCUCAUCAAUUACCUGCAGUCUUUGGUUCAUGCCUGUUGAUCAUCCCAAACGCUAUUCUCGCUCCGCGGAAAACACUUUGGUUCAAAUUUUCCAUCUCUUCCUUCUUUAGAUUCUUCAUAGAAUAAUCUCGGCUUCUCCUUGAGCGCCAUUCUCUAGAAUCCUUUGUCUUAUCGUUCUCCUGCUGCUAUUUUUUCUACAUACCAUGUGAAUACUAUGUUGUGACAUAUGAUUAUAUGGGAUUCACCAAAGUUGGAAUUUAUUUUAUCCUUAACACAUCUAUAAGAUGUUGUUGGAUGGAGAACAUCGUCAAUCCGCCGUCAGAAUGAACUUCCAAAGUCUAACCUUCAAAUAAAGGAUCAGAAAUACCCACAUAUCGUAAAUGUUGAGCAAGAAACUGCUCUGGAUAUUGACCAUAAAGUAUCUUCAUCGGAUGAGAAGCAAAUGACUGAUUUAGAAGAGGAGAUGAUUGACGGUCUUACACAAGUACCAUGGGAACGAAUUGAUGUUAGCUUUCACGAAAGCAGACAACGAUACGUUGCACACAAUACUAUCCAGGUGAAGACCUAUUGGCUAAAUUCAGAUGGUGCAGAUGUGAUUGAACAUAUGAUAGAUAACUUCCUUCUCUAGUUGUCUGUUCAUCGAGGAUUGGCUGUCUCGGUGAUAGUUCCUUUUGCUUAUCGGUAGCGCCUAUGGUACUUCAUUCCAAGGUCCUAAUCACAUGCAUAACCACGGAUCUGAGCAUCAUUGCCAAAUUGUUUCUUCUUGCAUGUAUAUCAUGUGUGAGUGUUAUCUUCAAGAACCUCACAAAUUUGUAGUUGAUCAGAAUCUUUGCAAUGCGUUUUGUCAUUUUCUUUCAUUUGUGCUUCCUUUAUUUUGUCUUUUACGUUAAAUUGAAAGAAAUGUUCAAAGUGGCGGUAAUCGCUGCAUUCACAAAUUAUUUUUUCUCCAUGAACAUAGUGCUAUUUAUCGUAUUCUUUAGUCUCUUA